rnacentral:lncRNA from 1 species
AAAAAAUAAAUUUUCUAAAAAUAAUUUUAUAAAAUAGUUUGACAAAUUUUGUGAAGUAAUUUAAAGUUUAAAUAUAAAAUAUAAAAUAUAAAUUCUAAAUUUUAAUUUUAAAACUUUAAAUUUUAAAUCUUAUAUUUUAAAUUUUAAAUUCUAAAGUUUGAGUUUUAAAAUUCAAUUCAAAAUUUUAAUUUGAAAUCUAGAAUUUAGAUUUUUGAAAUUUAAUAUUUAAAAUUUGAAAUGUAAAAAUAUAAAAUUUAAAAUUAAUGAUAUAAAAUUUGAAAAUUGAAAUUACAACAUUAAAAGUGUUGAAAUGUAAAAUUUAAAAUAUAAAUAUAAAAUUUAAAUUUAAUUAAAUAUUUAAAAUUUGAAAUUAAAAAUUUAUGAGUUGAAAUUUAAAAUUUAAAAUUUGAAGUUUGAAAUUUAAAAUAUAAAAUAUAACUUUAGAAUUAUAUAACAUUUAAAAUUUAAUAUGUAAAAUCUUCAAUUUAACAAUCUAAAAUUUAAAAUUUAAUUUAAAUUUACAUUUUAAAUCUAAAAUAAAUUUUAAAUUUUA